rnacentral:miRNA from 1 species
AGUGACAGAGUUAGGAGGGAGUGACUAGUGACAGAGAGAGGGAUGGGGUGACUAGUGACAGUCACCCCCUCCCUCACUCUGUCACUAGUCACCCCCUUCCCUCUCUCUGUCAC